rnacentral:rRNA from 1 species
UACGGAGGGGGCUAGCGUUGCUCGGAAUCACUGGGCGUAAAGCGCACGUAGGCGGACUCUUAAGUCAGGGGUGAAAUCCUGGAGCUCAACUCCAGAACUGCCUUUGAUACUGAGAGCCUUGAGUUCGGGAGAGGUGAGUGGAACUGCGAGUGUAGAGGUGAAAUUCGUAGAUAUUCGCAAGAACACCGGUGGCGAAGGCGGCCAACUGGACCAUUACUGACGCUGAGGCGCGAAAGCGUGGGGAGCAAACAGG